GGUGACCCAAACCCUCACCAGAGUAGCAAUUGGAGGGCAAGUCUAGUGCCAGCAGCCGCGGUAAUUCCAGCUCCAAUAGCGUAUAUUAAACUUGUUGCAGUUAAAAAGCUCGUAGUUGUAUUUUUGCGUUGACGGUUUGACCAUUUGGUUGGUUAUUUCGUUUUCGCUUAUGGGAAUUUCCCUUUUUACUUUGAGAAAAUUAGAGUGUUUCAAGCAGACUUUUGUCUUGAAUACUUCAGCAUGGAAUAAUAGAGUAGGACUUUGGUUCUAUUUUGUUGGUUAUUGAACCUUAGUAAUGGUUAAUAGGAACGGUUGGGGGCAUUC
rnacentral:rRNA from 1 species